CUUCGACGUAGGAUGCUCCUAUUAUUGCGAAGCAGAAUUCGCUGAGCGUUGGUCACCCACCAACAGAGGACGUGAGCUGAGUUUAGACCGUCGUGAGACGGG
rnacentral:ncRNA from 1 species